rnacentral:rRNA from 1 species
UACAGAGGGGGCAAGCGUUGUUCGGAAUUACUGGGCGUAAAGGGCGCGUAGGCGGCCUUCUAAGUCGAACGUGAAAUCCCCGGGCUCAACCCGGGAACUGCGUCCGAUACUGGAAGGCUUGAAUCCGGGAGAGGGAUGCGGAAUUCCAGGUGUAGCGGUGAAAUGCGUAGAUAUCAAGAGGAACACCUGAGGUGAAGACGGGUUGCUGGGCCAACACUGACGCUGAGGCGCGAAAACCAGGGGAGCAAACGGG